rnacentral:rRNA from 1 species
GACGAACGCUGGCGGCGUGCUUAACACAUGCAAGUCGAACGGAAAGGCCCUGCUCUUGUGGGGUGCUCGAGUGGCGAACGGGUGAGUAACACGUGAGUAACCUGCCCUUGACUUUGGGAUAACUUCAGGAAACUGGGGCUAAUACCGGAUAGGAGCUCCUGCUGCAUGGUGGGGGUUGGAAAGUUUCGGCGGUUGGGGAUGGACUCGCGGCUUAUCAGCUUGUUGGUGGGGUAGUGGCUUACCAAGGCUUUGACGGGUAGCCGGCCUGAGAGGGUGACCGGCCACAUGGGGACUGAGAUACGGCCCAGACUCCUACGGGAGGCAGCAGUGGGGAAUAUUGCACAAUGGGCGGAAGCCUGAUGCAGCAACGCCGCGUGCGGGAUGACGGCCUUCGGGUUGUAAACCGCUUUCGCCUGUGACGAAGCGUGAGUGACGGUAAUGGGUAAAGAAGCACCGGCUAACUACGUG